GGUGCACAAGAGGUACAAGCUAGCAGCUGGCUGGUGCAGCUGUGUGCCAGAGUGUCUAGCAGGGGAGGUUGCUGUGAGCUGGAACUCCUGGGCAUAUGUGAUGCAGACUGCUCACUGUGUGUCCAGUCCCAGGCACAUCUUGCCUACUCUCACAGUCUGUUUAUCUGAAAGAAAUGAUUCUUUUUCUGCACAUACCUUCUGAAGGGGGGUACAAGAAGCCCUUUGCUUCUGAGUGUCAAGCAGUGUGAAUGGGCAAAAUCUCUCCCACUAAUCCCUGUCCUUGUCCCUGUCCACCCCCUUUGUUGCUCCCUGUCCUGGCCUGAGGAGAGAAGCUGGUGCAAGGGGCAGAAGUGGCUCACAAACAGUGAAUAUUCCCUCCUCCCAGCCAACACUCUUGCCUUUGAUUCUGCAGGAACAGAAGUGUGUCCCAGCCACUGGAGAGCUCUCCCCAGAGGUCCAGGAAUGGUCCCCAUACUCACCAGGGCAUCCUAGCAGGCAUGGCAACCCCCCACUCUACCCCAACAGGCCAUCUGUAGGUACUGUUCCCCGGAGCAUGACCCCCAGCACCACUGUGAGCUCCAUCCUGCGGAACCCCAUCUAUACUGUACGCAGCCACAGGGUGGUCCCCUGCUCUCCACCUGUGCCCCGAGAUGCUGGUCCUCAGGGCUUAUCUCCCAGGUAUGGCAAGAUAAACACUUCCCUGCACACCAGCAGUCCAGCCCCUGAAUGGAGAGCUGCUGCGACAUCGAGGCCGGUGGGCAGAGUUAGUCCCAUAGCUAUCUGGGAAUGGAUUGGGGGAGCAUAGCUGGGACCUAGUGAGAGUAGACUUAAAAAGAUGCUGUGUGAGCUCACCUGGGUAUUCAGGGACAUUUCAGGAAUGGCAAUAGUGAUGGUAGAUCAGGUCCCAAACACUGUGCUUAGACCUUCUUCCAAUCCUCAUCUAAACACACGGUGAAUGACCUGAGCCCAGUGCUGCUAUGUUCCUCUACUCCAAGACAGAGUGCUGAGACCUUCCAGAGGACAUGAGCUGUCUGUGCUGAAAUUUAAGCAUCACAAGAGUUUUUCUGACUAUGUAGAGCACCGAUGAAUAUAUUAAGGAAGAAACCUGAGCUGGGCAUGGUAGCACACACCCUUAAUCUCAGCACUGGGAAGGCAGAGGCAGCUGGAUUUCUGUAAGUUUGAGGCCAGCCUGGCCUACAUAGUGAGCUCCAGGCCAGCCAAGGCUCUGUAGUGAAACUCUGUCUUAGAGGAAAGAAAGAAAAGGAAGGAAGGGAGGAAGGAAAGAAGGGAGGGAGGGAAGGAAGGAAGGAAGGAAGGAAGGAAGGAAGGAAGGA
rnacentral:lncRNA from 1 species